AGUGAACGCUGGCGGUAGGCCUAACACAUGCAAGUCGAACGGCAGCACAGUAAGAGCUUGCUCUUACGGGUGGCGAGUGGCGGACGGGUGAGGAAUACAUCGGAAUCUACUUUUUCGUGGGGGAUAACGUAGGGAAACUUACGCUAAUACCGCAUACGACCUACGGGUGAAAGCAGGGGAUCUUCGGACCUUGCGCGAUUGAAUGAGCCGAUGUCGGAUUAGCUAGUUGGCAGGGUAAAGGCCCACCAAGGCGACGAUCCGUAGCUGGUCUGAGAGGAUGAUCAGCCACACUGGAACUGAGACACGGUCCAGACUCCUACGGGAGGCAGCAGUGGGGAAUAUUGGACGAUGGGCGCAAGCCUGAUCCAGCCAUACCGCGUGGGUGAAGAAGGCCUUCGGGUUGUAAAGCCCUUUUGUUGGGAAAGAAAAGCAGCAGGUUAAUACCCCGCUGUUCUGACGGUACCCAAAGAAUAAGCACCGGCUAACUUCGUG
rnacentral:rRNA from 1 species